rnacentral:lncRNA from 1 species
GCUCCCAGGUACUCAUGACCCCUACUCAUCUCAUUCUCAGACAACCUACCCCACUGCACGUUACGGUGAAACCGGCUACACUGGAUUGGAGCAGCACCAUGGGAUGAUGAACAAGAUGCCAGGUACUGACCCCUACUCAUCUCAUUCUCAUACAACCGGCACCACUGCACCUUACGAUGGAACCGGCUACACCGGAACAGAGUACCGCCAGCACAAGGGCACGAUGGACAGGAUCAAGGAUAAGCUGACUGGGACUGGUGGACAUAGGGUGGAUGAUCCCUACUCAUCUCAUUCUCAUAAAACCGCCACCACCACACCUUACGGUGGCACCACCACCACAGCUUACGGUGACAGCACCACCACACCUUCACCUUACGGUGGCACCACCACCACACAUUCACCUUACGGUGGCACCACCACCACAGCUUACGGUGACACCACCACCACACCUUCAGCUUACGGUGGCACCACCACCACACCUUCAGCUUACGGUGGCACCGCCACCACCACCUACCCCCGUGAAAAGAAGGGCAUCAUGGACAAGAUCAAAGAGAAACUUCCUGGUGGACAUCAUUAUUA